UAUAUGCUAAAAUUUUUUAAAUUUUUAUUAAUUAAUAAGAAGUCUCACUUUUUAAUUAUAAUUUUAUAACUCUGAAGAGAGAUUUAAUUUUCAGAUUUUUCAUUUAUUCAGCUAUCAUUUCUUUGAGCUUUGAAAAUUAAUAUAAAAAUUCAUCAUGACCAUGAUCAGGCAGUAGUGAUAGUCUUGUGGAGGGGCUGCCAUUUCAAGAAUCUUAGAUGACUUUGGAUAUCACUUAAUCUGAUUGUAUUUUUGACUGCUUUAACAAAAUUCAAUUAUUAUCAGCCAGACAAUCACUGAAGUACAUUAUCCCUUUUGUUACAGAAAGCCAAAGAUCCAUAAACUUAGAUGCAAAUUAAAAUGCACACUCUAGUUUCUUUCUAAAAAUCACAGGGGGGGAAAUAACUUAUAAUGUCAAACAGAAUUUAUUUGAUAUUACUUGCUUUUAUUGACAAUAAGUUAAUAUUUCAUUAGACAGAAAAAUGCAUCACAGAAAUAAUCAUACAAAAAAUAAAUUUAAAAAUGUCCAGUAAGAAAAAUUCUAUAAGUUAUCUCACUAAUUUUUAUUUGUUUUUUAGUAUUUAUUUACUUACCAGAUAAUUUAAGGAUUAACAUGUGGAUCUGACAGAUGUGAACAACAGGUGUUAACCUACUGCAGUCAUGUGGUUGUCGCACAGGUGUAAAUAUGGCAAAGUGAGACAUUCUCAACACAGACAGAGACAACACUAUGGUUUGAAUAAACCUUGGACUUCAAGAUUCGAUAAAAAACAGCUCUUAUUACAGCUUUUAUUGAAUCUCGAAGUAAAGUAAACUGCAGUAUAAACUAGAAUGGACAACAUAAAUCUUGGACUUUUAUUGAGAGUGUAUUUUAUAUGAAUAUCCACGGAGAACAAAUAUUUACAAAUUAUGAUUUGGAGGAUUGUUGGCUGUCCUCCUCUUUCAGUUUUCAGUGGCGCACAAUAGUCUCUAGUCCUACUUUUGUCACUCUUUAGUCCAAAUACACUAACACGCUGGACGUUGUUAAUUAUGAAUGGAAUACAAGGAGCCUUUUUACACCACCUGUCAGAUUGUAGGAUUUGACAUCAAGCUGUCUGCCCAGGAUGCAGGUUUCAGGCUGCUGGGUCGAGAGAUGUUUUGCGAUUCUCAGUGGUUGGGGUUCUAUUCUCAGAUGUGUGGGACUUUGGAGCAACUCUGUCAAACCUUUUUACUCCAUGACUUGACAACUUCACGACUACGACACCAAUGCUGACUAUGCAGAUAAAAGGCAGCUGACCCUUAUAUCCUUUAUUCUCCCCCUUCUUUUUAAAACAAUCUCUUUACUGUCCUUUUUCUUUAUUGCCCUAUUUACUUCUCCCUUUUACACCAUCUAUGUUUUAUCCAACUCCCUCUUUGUUGAUCUAACUUUUUGUUUGUUUAAUUUAUCCCACUCGAGGACAGAAAAUCUCAGGUCCACUGGAACAACAAUCAAGUGAGUCAUUUCUUGUUCAAAUGUAUCACUUGUACAAAAGUGUGGAGUGACAUUUUACAGAUGGUUCUACCUCCGUUUUUAAACAUUCUUUGUUGAAUCAGAGACCCGAUAGAGUCGGCCUUAAUUUAAUUAGUUUAUGAACCUAUAAACAGGUCAAUUUGGUUAAUCCAAAUUGACCUGUUAAGACAGGCCAAUAUUUUUCUAGAAAUGUUACAAUGCUUAAAUAACUGUUUUAUAUAAAUUAUUUUUCUUCUAAUUUUAACAUUUAAAAUACAUUUAUAUGUAUAAU
rnacentral:lncRNA from 1 species